rnacentral:rRNA from 1 species
AAACUGUUGACCAUUGCUUGUGAUUAUACAAAAUGGAUAUGGAAGGAGAUUCUCCAGCGAUUUGAACUCAAUAGACUGCCGCAACCAAACUUGCACCAAGAACUAGGCGAACUCAUGCAAUGUUUCUCAAGAAAAGGGCCUCUCACACAACUGGCAAAGGUUACUUUCAGAUGCGCUAUUUGGUGGAUGUGGAAGGAGAGAUGUAACAGAAUCUUUGAAUGUCAACACACAAACAAUGCUCAGCUAUUGAAAGAGAUUAUUAGAGACUCAAGAUCCUGUAUGGAGCAAGAUCUCAAAACGGAGCACUUUACCCAAAGAGAAAAAUAUAUUUUUAUCAAUUUUAAUUUUGCUAUUAGCUAAAGAUCUUGGGAAUGAUGCCAAAUUUUGAUAUAUCUGGAAAAACAUUUUCUAUUUUGAUUAUAAUUACGAUUUAUAGUCUACAACAUGUGUAGUCAUAACUAUCGCAUUCGCACUCUAUGAGUUACAUGGCUUUGUCUAUGACUUGUAUAGAUAAAGCUAUUUGUAGAAACUUGACACAUAAUCAAUUUACUUUUACUUACCAAAAAAAAAAGUUGGGGGCUCGAAGACGAUCAGAUACCGUCCUAGUCUCAACCAUAAACGAUGUCGACCAGGGAUCGGCGGAUGUUGCUCUUAGGACUCCGCCGGCACCUUAUGAGAAAUCAAAGUCUUUGGGUUCCGGGGGGAGUAUGGUCGCAAGGCUGAAACUUAAAUGAAUUGAAGGAAGGGCACCACCAAGAGUGGAGCCUGUGGCUUAAUUUGACUCAACACGGGGAAACUUACCAGGUCCAGACAUAGCAAGGAUUGACAGAUUGAGAGCACUUUCUUGAUUCUAUGGGUGGUGGUGCAUGGCCGUUCUUAGUUGGUGGAGCGAUUUGUCUAGUUAAUUCCGAUAACGAACGAGACCUCAGCCUGCUAACUAGCUAUACGGCGGCAUCCCUCCGCGGCCAGCUUCUUAGAGGGACUAUGGCCGUUUAGGCCAUGGAAGUUUGAGGCAAUAACAGGUUUGUGAUGCCCUUAGAUGUUCUGGGCCGCACGUGCGCUACACUGAUGUAUUCAACGAGUCUAUAGCCUUGGCCGACAGGCCCGGGUAAUCUUUGAAAAUUUCAUCGUGAUGGGGAUAGAUCAUUGCAAUUGUUGGUCUUCAACGAGGAAUUCCUAGUAAGCGCGAGUCAUCAGCUCGCGUUGACUACGUCCCUGCCCUUUGUACACACCGCCCGUCGCUCCUACCGAUUGAAUGGUCCGGUGAAGUGUUCGGAUCGAGGCGAUGGGGGCGGUUUGCCGCCCACGACAUCGCGAGAAGUCCACUGAACCUUAUCAUUUAGAGGAAGGAGAAGUUGUAACAAGGUUUCCGUAGGUGAACCUGCGGAAG